rnacentral:rRNA from 1 species
ACAGCAGCCGCCGCGGUAAUACAGAGGGUGCGAGCGUUAAUCGGAUUUACUGGGCGUAAAGCGUGCGUAGGCGGCUUCUUAAGUCGGAUGUGAAAUUCCUGAGCUUAACUUAGGAAUUGCAUUCGAUACUGGGAAGCUAGAGUAUGGGAGAGGAUGGUAGAAUUCCAGGUGUAGCGGUGAAAUGCGUAGAGAUCUGGAGGAAUACCGAUGGCGAAGGCAGCCAUCUGGCCUAAUACUGACGCUGAGGUACGAAAGCAUGGGGAGCAAACAGGAUUAGAUACCCCGGUAGUCCCUGUCUCUUAUAC